GAUGAACGCUGGCGGCGUGCUUAAUACAUGCAAGUCGAGCGAACAGACGAGGAGCUUGCUCCUCUGACGAUAGCGGCGGACGGGUGAGUAACACGUGGAUAACCUACCUAUAAGACUGGGAUAACUUCGGGAAAGCGGAGAUAAUACCGGAUAACAUGUUGAAGCGCAUGGUUCAACAGUGAGAGACGGUCUUGCUGUCACUAAUAGCUGGAUCUGCGCUGCAUUAGCUAGUUGGUAAGGUAACGGGUUAUCAAGGCAACGAUGCGUAGCCGAGCUGAGAGGGUGAGUGGCCAGACUGGAAGUGAGACACGGUCCAGAGGCCUACGGGAGGGAGCAGGAGGGAAUCGGCCGGAAUGGGCGAGAGCCUGACGGAACAGGGCCGCGGGAGGGAGGAGGAACGCCGGGUCGGGAAUGUCGGUUAUCAGUGAAGAACCAAUGUCGACGUAACCAUGCACUUCUUGACGGUACCGAAUAAGAAAGCCACGGCUAACUACGUG
rnacentral:rRNA from 1 species